GCCGGGUUAGCUCAGUUGGUAGAGCACCGCUCUUGUAAAGCGGAAGUCGUCGGUUCGAGGCCGACACCCGGCUCGA
rnacentral:tRNA from 1 species